rnacentral:rRNA from 1 species
GUGAACGCUGGCGGUAGGCCUAACACCUGCAAGUCGCACGGCAGCACAGUAAGAGCUUGCUCUUCCGGGUGGCGAGUGGCGGACGGGUGAGGAAUACAUCGGAAUCUACUUUUUCGUGGGGGAUAACGUAGGGAAACUUACGCUAAUACCGCAUACGACCUACGGGUGAAAGCAGGGGAUCUUCGGACCUUGCGCGAUUGAAUGAGCCGAUGUCGGAUUAGCUAGUUGGCGGGGUAAAGGCCCACCAAGGCGACGAUCCGUAGCUGGUCUGAGAGGAUGAUCAGCCACACUGGAACUGAGACACGGUCCAGACUCCUACGGGAGGCAGCAGUGGGGAAUAUUGGACAAAGGGCGCAAGCCUGAUCCAGCCAUACCGCGUGGGUGAAGAAGGCCUUCGGGUUGUAAAGCCCUUUUGUUGGGAAAGAAAAGCAGCAGGUUAAUACCCCGCUGUUCUGACGGUACCCAAAGAAUAAGCACCGGCUAACUUCGUG